CUUUUAUUAGACCAACAAGAUUUUUGCAAAUAAAUAAAAUAUAUCCUCUCUACUACGAGUCCCAGUUGCCUUUUCUUCUACACCAAUACAGCUACAACCUGGAUACCUCAUAUUUAAAAGAAUAUGCUAGCAAUAUAUGUACUUAGGUUUUUUAAAGUGGUUUGCAAGGUAUUAUUUGUCACUUUUUUUAUACAAGUGUUAUGUGAACAGGUUUGGAUUUUUUACGAAAUCCGGAUUGGCAUAAUUAAGCUGAAUUGUUCAUAAAAUUGUACAGAUCUGUCCUUGAGCUUGAUUCAAAGGCCACCGAAGAUGGGAACAUUUCACAUAUAUCAUUUAAUUUUAUGUUAUUCAUAUUUUUAAGUGCAAUCCCUCAAAAAUAAAUAUUAUGAAUUACUUUGUUCUAGUUAA